rnacentral:lncRNA from 1 species
GAUCUCCGGCAUAAAAAACCUCGGGUGAUGGCAACUACCGAUCACCAAGCUUCAAUAUAACAAACAAUAUUUUUACAACUUCGGAUGGUAACGAGCUAAGUACAAGGAUCACUAUAGUAUCGUGUGUCAAAGCGUGUGAGAAAUGUGUUGUGGAAGUGUGUUGUGUCUUCCGAAUGUGGAAGAGAGCUAUUUAUACAAGUGUGAGUGGCCCUAUUUUAGGUAAAUAGACUAACUAUUAGCUCGUUACCCCUUUAGGAAUAAAAGUAAAUCUAGCCUA